rfam:Ictidomys tridecemlineatus contig003192, whole genome shotgun sequence.
UGAUGCCCCUCACCCACUGUCGAAGAUCCCCGGUGGGCGAGGGGGCGGCAGGGAUC